rnacentral:rRNA from 1 species
GAGUUUGAUCGUGGCUCAGGAUGAACGCUGGCGGCGUGCCUAACACAUGCAAGUCGAGCGAAGCAUACAGGAGGAAGUUUUCGGAUGGAAUCCUGCAUGGCUGAGCGGCGGACGGGUGAGUAACGCGUGGGUAACCUGCCUUAUACAGGGGGAUAACAGUUAGAAAUGACUGCUAAUACCGCAUAAGCGCACAGUACCGCAUGGUAGUGUGUGAAAAACUCCGGUGGUAUAAGAUGGACCCGCGUCUGACUAGCCAGUUGGCGAGGUAACGGCUCACCAAGGUCGACGAUCAGUAGCUGGUCUGAGAGGAUGAUCCGCCACACUGGGACUGAGACACGGCCCAGACUCCUACGGGAGGCAG